rnacentral:rRNA from 1 species
UGGGGAAUAUUGCACAAUGGAGGAAACUCUGAUGCAGCGACGCCGCGUGAGUGAAGAAGUAAUUCGUUAUGUAAAGCUCUAUCAGCAGGGAAGAUAGUGACGGUACCUGACUAAGAAGCUCCGGCUAAAUACGUGCCAGCAGCCGCGGUAAUACGUAUGGAGCAAGCGUUAUCCGGAUUUACUGGGUGUAAAGGGAGUGUAGGUGGCCAUGCAAGUCAGAAGUGAAAAUCCGGGGCUCAACCCCGGAACUGCUUUUGAAACUGUGAGGCUGGAGUGCAGGAGGGGUGAGUGGAAUUCCUAGUGUAGCGGUGAAAUGCGUAGAUAUUAGGAGGAACACCAGUGGCGAAGGCGGCUCACUGGACUGUAACUGACACUGAGGCUCGAAAGCGUGGGGAGCAAACA